UACGGGGGGGGGGCAAGCGUUUGUUCGGAAUUACUGGGCGUAAAGGGCUCGUAGGCGGCCAACUAAGUCAGACGUGAAAUCCCUCGGCUUAACCGGGGGAACUGCGUCUGAUACUGGAUGGCUUGAAUCCGGGAGAGGGAUGCGGAAUUCCAGGUGUAGCGGUGAAAUGCGUAGAUAUCUGGAGGAACACCGGUGGCGAAGGCGGCAUCCUGGACCAAUUCUGACGCUGAGGAGCGAAAGCCAGGGGAGCAAACGGG
rnacentral:rRNA from 1 species